GUCAAGCGCAACCAUGAGUUUCCGUAUCCAAUUUUAAUCGUCCGUAUUAUUUAAUUUUUUUUAUGGUUAGUAUUUUUUAUUAGAUUAUAAAAACAUGAAUAGUAAUUUAUGUGUGACUUAUGUUUUUUUUCUCUAAAAAAAUUAAAAUAAGACAAAUGAUUAAAAUUGGCAAUGGAAACUCAUGGCUACACUUAUU
rfam:Oryza meridionalis cultivar OR44 (W2112) chromosome 3, whole genome shotgun sequence.